rnacentral:sRNA from 1 species
GGCAAUGCGUAUAUCAAAUUGGCUUGCCUCCCCCACCCAUUCAUGAGGAAGUAGCAUUUUUACGAUGUAAAAAUAGCGGAUUCCGAAUGAUUGGAGCAUUGCGAGAGUUGCGAAGCAACGUAGCAAUGCGUAUUUCC